CCUACGGGUGGCAGCAGUAGGGAAUCUUCCACAAUGGGCGAAAGCCUGAUGGAGCAACGCCGCGUGGGUGAAGAAGGUCUUCGGAUCGUAAAACCCUGUUGUUAGAGAAGAAAGUGCGUGAGAGUAACUGUUCACGUUUCGACGGUAUCUAACCAGAAAGCCACGGCUAACUACGUGCCAGCAGCCGCGGUAAUACGUAGGUGGCAAGCGUUAUCCGGAUUUAUUGGGCGUAAAGGGAACGCAGGCGGUCUUUUAAGUCUGAUGUGAAAGCCUUCGGCUUAACCGGAGUAGUGCAUUGGAAACCGGGAGACGUGAGUGCAGAAGAGGAGAGUGGAACUCCAUGUGUAGCGGGGAAAUGCGUAAAUAUAUGGAAGAACACCAGGGGCGAAAGCGGCUCUCUGGUCUGUAACUGACGCUGAGGUUCGAAAGCGUGGGUAGCAAACAGGAUUAGAUACCCCAGUAGUC
rnacentral:rRNA from 1 species